rnacentral:rRNA from 1 species
UGGGGAAUAUUGCACAAUGGGCGCAAGCCUGAUGCAGCAACGCCGCGUGAACGAUGAAGGUCUUCGGAUCGUAAAGUUCUGUUGCAGGGGAAGAUAAUGACGGUACCCUGUGAGGAAGCCCCGGCUAACUACGUGCCAGCAGCCGCGGUAAUACGGAAGGUUCGGGCGUUAUCCGGAUUUAUUGGGUUUAAAGGGAGCGUAGGCUGUUUGUUAAGCGUGUUGUGAAAUGUAAGAGCUCAACUUUUAGAUUGCAGCGCGAACUGGCAGACUUGAGUGCGCACAACGUAGGCGGAAUUCAUGGUGUAGCGGUGAAAUGCUUAGAUAUCAUGACGAACUCCGAUUGCGAAGGCAGCUUACGGGAGCGCAACUGACGCUAAAGCUCGAAGGUGCGGGUAUCGAACAGG